rnacentral:rRNA from 1 species
GACACUGAGGUGCGAAAGCGUGGGUAGCAAACAGGAUUAGAUACCCUGGUAGUCCACGCCGUAAACGAUGUCAACUAGCCGUUGGGUCCCUUGAGGACUUAGUGGCGCAGCUAACGCAAUAAGUUGACCGCCUGGGGAGUACGGCCGCAAGGUUAAAACUCAAAUGAAUUGACGGGGGCCCGCACAAGCGGUGGAGCAUGUGGUUUAAUUUGAUGCAACGCGAAGAACCUUACCUACCCUUGACAUCCAGAGGAAUUUCCAGAGAUGGAUUGGUGCCUUCGGGAACUCUGAGACAGGUGCUGCAUGGCUGUCGUCAGCUCGUGUUGUGAAAUGUUGGGUUAAGUCCCGUAACGAGCGCAACCCCUAUCCUUAUUUGCCAGCGAGUCAUGUCGGGAACUCUAAGGAGACUGCCGGUGACAAACCGGAGGAAGGUGGGGACGACGUCAAGUCAUCAUGGCCCUUACGGGUAGGGCUACACACGUGCUACAAUGGCAAGUACAAAGGGUUGCAAUACGGCGACGUGGAGCCAAUCCCAUAAAGCUUGCCUCAGUCCGGAUUGGAGUCUGCAACUCGACUCCAUGAAGUCGGAAUCGCUAGUAAUCGUGGAUCAGAAUGCCACGGUGAAUACGUUCCCGGGCCUUGUACACACCGCCCGUCACACCAUGGGAGUGGACUGCACCAGAAGUGGUUAGCC